rnacentral:rRNA from 1 species
AUUGAACGCUGGCGGCAGGCCUAACACAUGCAAGUCGAACGGUAACAGGAAGCAGCUUGCUGCUUUGCUGACGAGUGGCGGACGGGUGAGUAAUGUCUGGGAAACUGCCCGAUGGAGGGGGAUAACUACUGGAAACGGUAGCUAAUACCGCAUAACGUCGCAAGACCAAAGAGGGGGACCUUAGGGCCUCUUGCCAUCGGAUGUGCCCAGAUGGGAUUAGCUAGUAGGUGGGGUAACGGCUCACCUAGGCGACGAUCCCUAGCUGGUCUGAGAGGAUGACCAGCCACACGGGAACUGAGACACGGUCCAGACUCCUACGGGAGGCAGCAGUGGGGAAUAUUGCACAAUGGGCGCAAGCCUGAUGCAGCCAUGCCGCGUGUAUGAAGAAGGCCUUCGGGUUGUAAAGUACUUUCAGCGGGGAGGAAGGGAGUAAAGUUAAUACCUUUGCUCAUUGACGUUACCCGCAGAAGAAGCACCGGCUAACUCCGUG